CCUUCUCAAACUGCUGGAGGCCUUCUGGAGUCACCAUGCCUUCGAGGAACUGCUGCUUCCCACUUCAUGUGCUUCUGGUAGCUUGGUGGAUCACAGGACUCUGUCCCCUACCCAAAGGUGGACUGGCAACAAUACACCCCAGCCCUGGGGCCACAGUGAUAGCCCAAGGAAGGUAUUCGUGCCUGCUUUGUGGCUCAAAACAGAGCCCUCAGAGGAAGGACCAAGUUGACUCUCAUAUGGCACGUUCACAUGGGAGACUGGGGCAAUCAGGCCGUUUAGGGAACUGCUGCUGUGUGCCUUUUGAGGGAAGGAUGUUCCCAAAGGACAAUGUCCGGCACUCAAUACAUUGAGUGAAUGAGUGAGCGGAUGUAUGCGUGGAAGAGACGCCAGGGAAAGAAUUCUGGAAUUAACAGGAAUCUUUUCUCUAUAACACAUAAAGGACAUGCCUUCCUGGAUGAGGAGGAAAUGGAAUUCUACUCCUGAACACCUGGUGAUGUCAGGCAGGGAAAAUUAUUGAACUUUACUAAAAGGCCAAUGAAGCAAAUAUUUUCUACCUCUCAAGGAUGUCAUCGGCCUAACAUCAGAGCUGGAGGCGAAGGCCUCCUUGGGCUCUCGUGCCAAGGCAAAAGAUCUUUUGCAACAAUGAGGAGGGAAACAUGCCUGUUGGGUAGGUUAUAGAGGGAGGCAACAGCGUGGGUUUUAAUCAUACAUGGGCUACUUUGCUGCCUCAGAUCUAGUGUGUCACGCUGCAACUAAGCUCCGAGUGAGAGGGUCAGUUUUUAAGUGGUCACACCUUUGUGCAUGGCUGCUAAUCCCUAGCU